UCUCCUUGACAUACUGGUUUCAUCUGGUGCUGAUGCUCACCUGUGUGUAUGAAGCAUUGAUACAUGGGAGAAAAGAAAAUCAAUCCCAAUUCAACUACCUGCUGGAAAGCCACCUGUUGGUGAUACACGUGUUCAGUUCCAUUCUGACCAACUUCGUUUAUUGGUAGUCCAUGAGACUCAAUUGGCAAUAUAUGAUGCCUCCAAGAUGGAACGCAUUCGGCAGUGGAUUCCCCAAGAUGUUCUGCCUGCUCCCAUAUCAUAUGCGGCGUAAUCCUGCAACAGUCAGUUAAUAUUUGCUUCAUUCUGUGAUGCAAACAUUGGGGUUUUUGAUGCGGAGAGCUUGAAACUAAGAUGUCGUAUUGCCCCGUCAAUAUGCUUGUCAUCAGCCGCUUUAAAUAUAAGCCAAGCUGUGUAUCUUCUUGUGAUUGCGGCUCAUCCACUAGAACCUAACCAGUUUGCUGUUGGGUUGAGUGAUGGGUCUGUCAAAGUGAUAGAACCAAGUGAAUCAGAGGGUAAGUGGGGAUCUUCUCCGCCUAUGGACAACGGAGUCUUGAAUGGUAAGGCACCAUCCUCAUCUGCAACUAGCAACCACACUGCCGAUCAGGCCCAACGAUGAGAUUCAUUCUAUUAAUUAUGUAGCAUAGUUCUUUCUAUUUGUAAUUUUAUCAGCCUAGGUUUUUAGGUUUUGACUCACCAAUUUGUCCAUCGACUAUAUCUGGUCGUUGGACAUAUACCUUCCUGUAUACCUUAAUUAAUUCUAGUUAACCCAAAUUAUGUUUAUAUUUCGUUGUAAUGUUAUCGGUUCUUGCAAACAAUGGUGGUGUCCCAACCACCCUCUCAUUAUGGUAUGUAUAAAAUCUGUUGACAAUUUGUCACUAAUGAAUUGGAAUUAGAUGUCUGAGAACUCCACCCCCAAAUUGAAGACUCAAUAUUUAUAUAUUGUUGGUAAUCCUGUUAUUGGUGGUAAGUAUCCAUCGAUUUUGUA